rnacentral:lncRNA from 10 species
AGUCAGAGGUUGGCAGCAAAAUAUGAGAGAUGGAAGGUCAAGUGCAGCAGAAGAGAGAAACAGGGAGAGUGGAGGUUGUUCUCUAGAACAUAGAAGCCGCUUCUUCAUCCCACACAAUGGAAACCAGAGCCCAGAUUAUAUUAACAAGAAGUUCCAGAAUUGCAGAUGGCCCUUUGCUGCUUAGGGAGGGGGGAGAAGAAGAAGGAGAAAAAGAAGAAAAAGAAAAAGAGCAGGUGGAAACUUAAAAAAAUGUUUAGCUGCAUGUAGAUGGCUUUUAUUAUAACUGCUAGGCUGAACCAGAA